rnacentral:tRNA from 1 species
UUCAAUAUAAGUUUAUUACAUUGGCAUGUGGCGCCAACACAUAACCAAAUAAUAUAUUCGCU